rnacentral:rRNA from 1 species
UACAGAGGUGGCAAGCGUUGUUCGGAAUUACUGGGCGUAAAGGGCGCGUAGGCGGCCAUCUAAGUCAGACGUGAAAUCCCCCGGCUUAACCUGGGAACUGCGUCUGAUACUGGACGGCUUGAGUAUGGGAGAGGGAUGUAGAAUUCCUGGUGUAGCGGUGAAAUGCGUAGAUAUCGGGAGGAACACCGGUGGCGAAGGCGGCUUUCUGGACAGAUACCGACGCUGAGGCACGAAAGCAUGGGGAGCAAACAGG